AUGCUUCCCCUGCGGCGCCUCUCCACCGCUGACAUAUCUGAGACAGAGACGUCACCAAAACGGCUGCGAUCAGGGCAGGCCUCGCAGGAACCCCACCAGGCCUUCAGCAUCAAGUAUUUGUUGUUUGAUAUCUUGCUCCAUAUCCAGGAUCCAACAACCCUUCUGCAUGCUUCGCUCGUGUGUAAGGAUUGGUAUAAAAUCAUCUCAGAUCCUGGUUUCCUCAACCCUUUCCGCAAAAAACAAAUUAGCCAGUUCGUCGGGUUUUUUGGUGAGUUUGAUGGUGGGGAUGAUAUAGAAUUCAUACCGCUGCCACUGCCCCCUGAGUUUGCAUAUGUUGGCAAGUACCUAUUGACUUCAUUUUCGGGUGGUCUUAGAAAUGCGCAAGACAUUCGUGGUGGCUCUGUUCUUCUAAAACUGGAAGACUCGAUCGCCAUCUCCAAUCCAUUUAUGAAGAGUUUCCGCACAUUUCCACUAGCCCCACCUUUCCGGAAUAUUCAUGGCCAUCAUUGUGGUGAUUUUUACCUCUUCAAUGGUGAUAGCGUAGUCCGCGUGGUUAUCAUUGCCAUGGCUAAUCUUCUGCAUAUUCAGUUAUGUGUUCUCGAGUCUAGUACUUGGAUAGAGUAUAGAAACACCGUUGAUGUUGGUAUUUCUCUUGGGGAAGGGCCCUUCUGUAAGACUGCGCUGUGUGUUAACCGCUUUAUAUAUAUGCUCUCUAUUGAUGGAUUCUUAGUGAAAGUCAGAAUGGAGGAUUGUUCUGCAUCUGUCAUCCCUCUUCCAAAUGGGUCAUAUGAAUGGCGUUUUCAACAGAUAUGCCGAUCGAAUUAUUCUGAUUUCCUGUAUGUCCAUGUUGAUGGUUUCGACAUUCGAAUAUGGUCGUAUUUGUCAGAUACCUGGACUCCUGUCUUUAGGAUUCAUGUUCCUUCUAUAUUUGCCUGUCACAUUGAUAUUGUGGAAAGCCUUAAUUGUAUUGAGUGGGACACGUCAAGGAGUGGCUGGGGGGAGUUUUUGACAAUGUACGGUGUCUCCGAUGGGGUUGAGCAUAUUAUCAUGGGGAUUAAUGGUGUUGAGCAUUUAUAUCUACUGGAUUCUAUUAAUGGAACAGUGACGUUAAUUGGAUCCAACGAAGAAUUAAUUGAGAUUUCACCUUUUGUCACCUCUUGGAUCCCUUCAUUUCUGACUUUAAAGGAAAAGAGUGCUGAAAUUGAAUACGAAUGUCUUGAUAUAUUAGGUGAUGUGUUUGAUAGAUCUGGCAACGUGAUCACGAAAGAUCAUGCGUAUAUGCUCACUGCACUUUUAUCCCAGCUGAGCUCCACUGAAGCAAGUGUCAGAAAAAAGACUGUUUCGUGCAUUGCAUCGCUUGCUCCAUGUUUGUCAGAUGAUCUAUUAGCCAAGGCAACUUUGGAGGCUGUCCAAUUGCUGAAAAAAAGAAGGCAGAAGUCUGAAAUAACCCGAACGAAUAUCCAGAUGAUUGGUGCUCUAAGCUGCUCGGUUGGAUACCGGUUUGGACCACACCUUGCCGAAGCCGUUCCUUUGCUCAUAAGCUAUUGCACAAGUGCAUCAGAAAAUGAUGAAGAGCUCCGUGCAUGCAGCCUGCAGGCCCUCGAGAGUAUUAUGCUCAGAUGUCCAAGAGAUAUUUCCCCAUAUUAUGAGGGUAUUUUGAAUCUUGCUUUGGAAUAUGUAAGCUAUGACCCUAAUAUCACCGAUAGCAUGAAGGAGGAUGCUCACGGUGAAGUUCAGGAUGAGGAAGACGAUGAUGAGAGUGCGUCUGAAUACAAAGAUGACAAGAAUGCAAGCUGGAAGGUUCGUCAGGCAUCAGCGAAGUGCCUGUCUGCAAUUAUUGUAUCUUGUCCUCAGAUGUUGUUUAAGAUGUAUCAGGAGGCUUGUACGAAGUUAAUCAACCGCUUUAGGGAAAGAGAGGAGAAUGUAAAGAUGGACAUUUUCAAUACAUUUAUCGAGUUGUUACGCCAAACUGGUAAUGUGACAAAAGGACAAGGUGACAUUGAUGAGUCUAGCCCUAGAUGGUUGCUGAAGCAAGAGGUACCCAAAGUUGUCAAGUCUAUCGAUAGUCAGUUAUAUGAAAGAUCAAUCAAGACAAAGGUUGGAGCAUUCUCAGUAUUGAAGGAGCUUGUUGUUCUAUUACCAGAUUGUCUUGCUGAUCAUCUUGGGUCCCUUGUUCCUUGGAUUGAGAUGUAUUUGAAUGAUAAAUCUUAUACCUCCAGCCUGAAGAUUGAAGCCCUUGCAUUUACUAGGAUUCUUAUGGCCCCACAUUCGCCCUCUGUGUUUCAUCCAUACAUCCAGAUAUUAUGUGAUGCAAUAGUAUCUGCUAUUGGAGAUAUAUAUUACAAAGUCACCGCUGAUGCUCUACGGGCGUGCGGGGAGCUAGUCCGGGUUCUCCGUCCAAAUUUUGAGGCACGUUCCAUAAAUUGCAGGCCAUAUAUUAGUCCAAUCUAUGAAGCUAUAUGGGCCCGCUUGGCCAAUCAAGAUCAGGAAGUUAAUGAGUGUGCCAUAUCGUGCAUGAGCCUUGUGAUCGCUACUUUUGGUGAUGGUCUUCAAAGGGAAUUACCGUCAUGCCUAUCCUUACUUGUUGACAGGAUGAGCUAUGAAAUAACACGACUUACAGCAGUCAAGGCAUUUGCGGUGCUUGCGAAUUCACCUCUUCGGAUUGAUCUUUCAUGUGUCCUGGACCGUGUCGUUUCUGACCUUACAACUUUCCUUCGAAAGGCUAACAGAGCCCUUAGGCAGGCAACAACAGGAACCCUAGAUUCUCUGGUUGUUACAUAUGGGGAUCAAAUUGGCCUGCCCUCUUAUGAGACUAUAAUAGCUGAACUAUCUAUUCUUAUAAGUGACAUCGACUUGCAUAUGUCUGUUCUUGCGUUGGAACUCUGUCGCACAAUAAUGGUCGACAGAAGUUCCUUCCAAAAUGUUGGUUUAGCUGUGAGACAUAAAGUUUUGCCUCAGGCCCUUAUUUUGAUCAGGAGUGCUUUGUUACAAGGACGAGCACUAGAGGCGCUGCAGAAGUUUUUUACUGCACUGGUCCAGUCUGCAAAUACAACCUUUGAAACUUUGUUGGGCUCCCUUAUUUCCACUGCCAAACAGUCACAGUUGGGUGGCCUUGCCAAGCAGGCACUAUCCUCUAUUGCACAGUGUGUUGCUGUGCUAUGCUUAGCAGCUGGUGAUCAGAAGUGUGCAUUGACUAUUGAAAUGCUCGAAGGCAUUCUAAAUGAUGUCAGUUCUACUGAUACUGCUAAACAACACAUUGCCUUGUUAUGUUUGGGAGAAAUUGGAAGAAGGAAGGACCUCAGCAACCAUGUUCAAAUUGAGAACACUGUAAUUGAAUCAUUCCAGUCACCUUCGGAGGAGAUAAAAUCUGCAGCAUCGUACGCUCUCGGAAACAUUGCUGUUGGCAAUCUAUCCAAGUAUUUGCCAUUUAUCUUGGAUCAGAUUGACAAUCAACAGAAGAAUCCGUAUCUCUUGCUUCAUUCACUGAAAGAGGUAAUUGCAUGGCAGUCUGUUGAUCAUACUGGCCAGGAUGAGCUCCAGGACUCAAACAUUGUGAAGAUAUUGGCGUUGCUCUUUAAUCACUGCAAAAGUGAGGACGAAGGAGUUCAGGAUGUGGUUGCUGAGUGUUUAGGCAAAAUUGCACUUAUUGAACCUAACAAACUAAUCCCUGUUCUGAAGGAAUGCACAUCUAGCCCAGCAGCAAACACAAGGGCUACGGUUGCCAUUGCUAUAAAAUAUUCAAUUUGUUGA
rnacentral:rRNA from 1 species